rnacentral:rRNA from 1 species
UACGAAGGGGGCUAGCGUUGCUCGGAAUCACUGGGCGUAAAGGGUGCGUAGGCGGGUCUUUAAGUCGGGGGUGAAAGCCUGUGGCUCAACCACAGAAUUGCCUUCGAUACUGGAUGGCUUGAGACCGGAAGAGGUAAGUGGAACUGCGAGUGUAGAGGUGAAAUUCGUAGAUAUUCGCAAGAACACCAGUGGCGAAGGCGGCUUACUGGUCCGGAUCUGACGCUGAGGCGCGAAAGCGUGGGGAGCAAACAGG